rnacentral:rRNA from 1 species
GAUGAACGCUAGCGGCAGGCUUAAUACAUGCAAGUCGUGGGGCAGCAUGAGUAGCAAUACUUGAUGGCGACCGGCAAACGGGUGAGGAACACGUACACAACCUUCCUUCAAGCGGGGAAUAGCCCAGAGAAAUUUGGAUUAAUACCCCAUAAUAUAUUUGAUAAGGCAUCUUAUUAAAUAUUAAAGCUUCGGCACUUGAUGAUGGGUGUGCGGCUGAUUAGAUAGUUGGCGGGGUAACGGCCCACCAAGUCUACGAUCAGUAGCUGAUGUGAGAGCAUGAUCAGCCACACGGGCACUGAGACACGGGCCCGACUCCUACGGGGAGGCAGCAGUAAGGAAUAUUGGACAAUGGACGAAAGUCUGAUCCAGCCAUGCCGCGUGAAGGAUUAAGGUCCUCUGGAUUGUAAACUUCUUUUAUAAUGGGACGAAAAAAGGGCAUUCUUGUUCACUUGACGGUACCAUAUGAAUAAGCACCGGCUAACUCCGUGCCAG